UACGUAGGGUGCAAGCGUUAAUCGGAAUUACUGGGCGUAAAGCGUGCGCAGGCGGUUGUGCAAGACGGAUGUGAAAUCCCCGGGCUUAACCUGGGAAUUGCAUUCGUGACUGCACGGCUAGAGUGUGUCAGAGGGGGGUAGAAUUCCACGUGUAGCAGUGAAAUGCGUAGAUAUGUGGAGGAAUACCGAUGGCGAAGGCAGCCCCCCUGGGAUAACACUGACGCUCAUGCACGAAAGCGUGGGGAGCAAACAGG
rnacentral:rRNA from 1 species